rnacentral:rRNA from 1 species
AGAUGGGCCCGCGGCACAUUAGCUAGAUGGUGAGGUAACGGCUCACCAAAGCAACGAUGCGUAGCCGAUCUGAGAGGAUGAUCCCCCACAUUGGGACUGAGACACGGCCCACACUCCUACGGGAGGCAGCAGUGAGGAAUAUUGCACAAUGGAGGAAACCCUGACGCAGCAACGCCGCGUGAGUGAUGACGGCCUUCUGGUUGUAAAGCUCUUUCUUCAGGGACGAUAUUGACGGUACUUGAGGAGGAAGCCACGUCUAACUACGUGCCAGCAGCCGCGGUAAUACGUAGGUGGCGAGCGUUGUCCUCAUUUACUGGGCGUAAAGGGAGCGUAGGCGGAUUUCUAAGUGAGAUGUGAAAUACUCGGGCUUAACAUGAGUGCUGCAUCUCAAACUGGAAGUCUAGAGUGCAGGAGAGGAGAAGGGAAUUCCUAGUGUAGCGGUGAAAUGCGUAGAGAUUAGGAAGAACACCAGUGGCGAAGGCGCUUCUCUGGUCUGUAACUGACGCUGAGGCUCGAAAGCGUGGGGAGCAUCAAAAGAGGAGAUACUCCUGGUAGUCCACGCCGUAAACGAUGAAUACUAGUUGUAGGGGUGCUCAUGACCUCCGUGCCGCCGCUAACGCAUUACGUAUUCCGCAUGGGGAGUGCGGUCGCGAGAUUAAAACUCAAAGGAAUUGACGGGGGCCCGCACAAGCAGCGGAGCAUGUGGUUUAAUUUGAAGCAACGCGAAGAACCUUACCUAGACUGUACAUCUCCUGCAUUACUAUUAAUGGAGGAAGUCUCUUCGGAGACAGGAUGACAGGUGGUGCAUGGUUGUUGUCAGCUCGUGUCGUGAGAUGUUGGGUUAAGUCCCGCAACGAGCGCACCCCUUAUUGUUAGUUGCCAUCAUUAAGUUGGGCACUCUAGCCAGACUGCCCUGGUUAACCGGGAGGAAGGUGGGGAGGACGUCAAAUCAUCAUGCCCCUUAUGUCUAGGGCUCCACACGUGUUCCAAUGGUCGGUCCAAUAAGAGGCAAGCCUGCGAGGGGGAGCAAAACUCGAAAACCGAUUUCAGUUCGGUUGGUAGGCUGAAAUUCGCUUACAUGAACCUGGAGUUGUUAGUAUUCGAGAUUCAGCAUGUCGCGGUGAAUACGUUCCCGGGCCUUGUACAAAGCGCCCGUCA